UUGGUCAUUUAGAGGAAGUAAAAGUCGUAACAAGGUCUCCGUUGGUGAACCAGCGGAGGGAUCAUUACCGAGUUUACAACUCCCAAGCCCAAUGUGAACCAUACCAAACUGUUGCCUCGGCGGGGUCACGCCCCGGGUGCGUCGCAGCCCCGGAACCAGGCGCCCGCCGGAGGGACCAACCAAACUCUUUCUGUAGUCCCCUCGCGGACGUUAUUUCUUACAGCUCUGAGCAAAAAUUCAAAAUGAAUCAAAACUUUCAACAACGGAUCUCUUGGUUCUGGCAUCGAUAGAAACG
rnacentral:rRNA from 1 species